AGCUCAGUAGGUUGAGCAACUGACUUGUAAUCAUCAGGUCGCCAGUUCGAUUCCGGUA
rnacentral:tRNA from 1 species